UUUUUCUUUUCUUUUUGGUUUUUGUGGCUUUCCUUUGGUUUCUUCUACCCUUUUCCGUCAGUGGUUUACACGUGUUAUAGACUCAGAGAACCAACCGCCCACCGCCUCUUCUUACCCACUCUAGAUGCUUCCCAAAUCCCGACGCCUCCUCUAAGUCCAAUAGCUUACCGUCAGGUUUUUAUCACCGCCUCGAUUUCUUUUGUCUACUUCGUUACGACGGUCGGUUUUGUUAUUCACCAUAGACGAUGACGAUGCAGCCAUGGGAACAACCACCUGUGGUCACCGCCGAUAAUCACUGUAUGCUUACCCUCUCAAUCCACAAAACUUUCAGGUCGCCAAUCCAGUUUCUUCCUUUAAUCCCUCCUCUAAACUUUCUCCUCUUUUUCUUUUGAAAGAAAUUGAUUAGGGCUUUUUAAGAGGAACCAUGGUAAGCACAAACUUCAACAUCGUUUUCCCCUGGUGUUGAUAUAGGAUAUGCUUCUCUUAUAGCGAGAAAGAAAAGAGGGUCACAACGCUCCACCCUGAAAUCGAUGAACUCCUCUACUGUUCAGUCGAAAAAGAAGAACACUUAUGUAUCUUCAAAGACAAGAACAAGCUGAUUUUGUUCACAAUGGCUCGACUGGAAGAUCGAUUUAAUCGAGGAGUACAAGUUAAAAGGUCAGUUUAGAUGGAUUUCUUCCCAGGUGAACCGGGUUCGAAACAGAGAGAAACGACGAGUUGUAUCGUCUGAUUGUUGACCAGAUGUAUCAAAUUGGAAAAAGUGACAGCUAUUGUGAACUUUACGAAACAAAACUGCUUCUUCAAGGUGUUUGAUGUUAUAUACCUGAAUGAGAUAAUUGUGAUCAACAUGUGUGAUGGACGUAAGAGGCCGAAGAAAUUAUAAUGGUUUAUUGUGGAGCCCCGUAUUAAUCAAUAGGAAAGUAGAAGUUGGUGUUAUUAUAGUUAUAUUUUUUUUGUACAUAAAUUUAAUUGCUUUCUACAUAUGGAUUGGCAAUGAUACUGUGACAUUGAAUCAUAUUUACAUUUUAUAAGAGUCAAGACUUUAUUGAGUAUUUAUUACCUAUCACUCUAAUUUUUUUAUAUGGUUUACUUUGAUGCAGCUUGUGGAGAAAUUUGGAAUUCAUCGAUGAUUUUCACGAAAUGACCAUUCCUUAAUUGAAGACUAUUAUACCUUCAGGUGCCUCUUCUCAGGUUCUAUUUAUUUGUUCUUUGUUCCUAUGAUUCUUCCAUGGUGCUAUUUACCUAGCAGCAAAUGACACAGGUUGGGUACCCAAGAGCUUAGAAAAACAAGUAUUUAUGUUAAUAUACUCAGGAAUUGUUUAAUUCAGGUUUGUGAUUCUUACCUUUCUACUAUCUUGCAGAAUUAUAAAGCCCUUUUCGAUAUUAAAAAGCUGAGAAUCAAAAUACAUAUGGAACAAGAAUUGGAGAGCAGGAGCAGUUUGUAGAGGAUAUAAAAUAAUGUGAAGAAUUGGUUCUCCAUCUUAUCUAAGAAGAAAGCAAAAUAUGACUCAUCAAGUAAAGAGAACAACAGACAUGAAUACCAAUAAAAAAAGAAGCAGAGGAAAUACCAAUAAUGUUUCAGAAACAUCACAUAUGAAUAAAAGGUAUGUUGCAUAUAUAUAGUUUUUUAUUUUGAUUGCAUGUAAAUGAAAACAAGAUUUUGAUCAUGUGUAAAUGAGAAGAUGGAGAACACAAAAAGAAUUGAUUUAUAUGCUGGACGAAUAUGCCCCUUGCCAAAUUCACUUUACAACACUUGAGAUAAAAUGAUAAAUAAUUAAAUAUCAUUUAAUUUUAUACAACUUUUUUUUUAUAAAACUGGAUCCCAAAUCAAACGCCUCACUUUUAUUCCUUUGGUAUGCUGAACUUGAACUUGAACUUUCAAACAACAAUUCUUCUAGAAGCUCAGAGUCAUUAUCAUGCACAUUACACAUUCUUUGUUGCUUGGGAUGUCGGGUAAAAUUUAGUCAAUUCAAAAUUCAAACAUCAAGUUUACAACUGUUAAGGGAACGUCAGGGAUUUAAAGAACAAAUAAGGGUAAUUCAGGGAAUUUGGAUUCAUGGGAGUAUUGAUGAAAAUUCUGUUGCUUCUAUUUGUUGUGCUUCUUUAUUUGAAGAGUUGACUUCUGGAUGAGAAUCUGGAAUUGAAAUUUUGAAUCAAGCUCUUUCCAUGGUGCUUCCAGAAAGGAGAAGCCAAAGUCAUCAACUUGAAUUAGUAUGCAACUUUUAUAUAUAAAAGCUGGUAAAUGAAGUAAACAGCAAUGUAAUUUGCUUUUACACAUUUUUUUCCUGUUUUUUUAAAUUUCCUUUAAUUUUUUUUCCAAAAACCUAUCUGUUGGCCCAUAUAUUAUAAGGGUAUAAUGUGUAUAGUCAAAUGUGUCGUGGCGUGUUUUGAUUUUGGGAAAAUAUUUUAUUCUUGCUAUAUAGAAAUUGGAAAGUAGUGUGCCAUCGUUUGGU